rnacentral:rRNA from 1 species
AGAGUUUGAUCCUGGCUCAGGAUGAACGCUGGCGGCGUGCCUAAUACAUGCAAGUCGAGCGAACUGAUUAGAAGCUUGCUUCAAUGACGUUAGCGGCGGACGGGUGAGUAACACGUGGGUAACCUGCCUAUAAGACUGGGAUAACUUCGGGAAACCGAAGCUAAUACCGGAUAGGAUCUUCUCCUUCAUGGGAGAUGAUUGAAAGAUGGUUUCGGCUAUCACUUACAGAUGGGCCCGCGGUGCAUUAGCUAGUUGGUGAGGUAACGGCUCACCAAGGCAACGAUGCAUAGCCGACCUGAGAGGGUGAUCGGCCACACUGGGACUGAGACACGGCCCAGACUCCUACGGGAGGCAGCAGUAGGGAAUCUUCCGCAAUGGACGAAAGUCUGACGGAGCAACGCCGCGUGAGUGAUGAAGGCUUUCGGGUCGUAAAACUCUGUUGUUAGGGAAGAACAAGUACAAGAGUAACUGCUUGUACCUUGACGGUACCUAACCAGAAAGCCACGGCUAACUACGUGCCAGCAGCCGCGGUAAUACGUAGGUGGCAAGCGUUAUCCGGAAUUAUUGGGCGUAAAGCGCGCGCAGGCGGUUUCUUAAGUCUGAUGUGAAAGCCCACGGCUCAACCCGUGGA